UGGGGAAUUUUGGACAAUGGGCGAAAGCCUGAUCCAGCAAUGCCGCGUGUGUGAAGAAGGCCUUCGGGUUGUAAAGCACUUUUGUCCGGAAAGAAAUGGCCCGGGAUAAUACCCUGGGUUGAUGACGGUACCGGAAGAAUAAGCACCGGCUAACUACGUGCCAGCAGCCGCGGUAAUACGUAGGGUGCGAGCGUUAAUAGGAAUUACUGGGCGUAAAGCGUGCGCAGGCGGCGAUGCAAGACAGAUGUGAAAGCCACGGGCUCAAACUGGGAAUGGCAUUUGUGACUGCAUGGCUAGAGUGCGUCAGAGGGGGGUGGAAUUCCGCGUGUAGCAGUGAAAUGCGUAGAGAUGCGGAGGAACACCGAUGGCGAAGGCAGCCCCCUGGGAUGACACUGACGCUCAGGCACGAAAGCGUGGGGAGCAAACAG
rnacentral:rRNA from 1 species